GGGUUGAUGGCGAAAUUGGUAUACGCAUCACACUCAAAAUGUGACGACUAUUGUCUUGAGGGUUCAAAUCCCUCUCUACCCA
rnacentral:tRNA from 1 species